AACAGGAUUAGAUACCCUGGUAGUCCACGCUGUAAACGAUGUCGAUUUGGAGGUUGUGCCCUUGAGGCGUGGCUUCCGGAGCUAACGCGUUAAAUCGACCGCCUGGGGAGUACGGCCGCAAGGUUAAAACUCAAAUGAAUUGACGGGGGCCCGCACAAGCGGUGGAGCAUGUGGUUUAAUUCGAUGCAACGCGAAGAACCUUACCUACUCUUGACAUCCAGAGAACUUUCCAGAGAUGGAUUGGUGCCUUCGGGAACUCUGAGACAGGUGCUGCAUGGCUGUCGUCAGCUCGUGUUGUGAAAUGUUGGGUUAAGUCCCGCAACGAGCGCAACCCUUAUCCUUUGUUGCCAGCGGUUCGGCCGGGAACUCAAAGGAGACUGCCAGUGAUAAACUGGAGGAAGGUGGGGAUGACGUCAAGUCAUCAUGGCCCUUACGAGUAGGGCUACACACGUGCUACAAUGGCGUAUACAAAGAGAAGCGACCUCGCGAGAGCAAGCGGACCUCAUAAAGUACGUCGUAGUCCGGAUUGGAGUCUGCAACUCGACUCCAUGAAGUCGGAAUCGCUAGUAAUCGUAGAUCAGAAUGCUACGGUGAAUACGUUCCCGGGCCUUGUACACACCGCCCGUCACACCAUGGGAGUGGGUUGCAAAAGAAGUAGGUAGCUUAACCUUCGGGAGGGCGCUUACCACUUUUGUGAUUCAUGACUGGGGUGAAGUCGUAA
rnacentral:rRNA from 1 species